GAUGAACGCUGGCGGCGUGCUUAACACAUGCAAGUCGAACGAUGAAGCCCAGCUUGCUGGGUGGAUUAGAGGCGAACGGGUGAGUAACACGUGAGUAACCUGCCCUUAACUCUGGGAUAAGCCUGGGAAACUGGGUCUAAUACCGGAUAGGAGCGUCCACCGCAUGGUGGGUGUUGGAAAGAUUUAUCGGUUUUGGAUGGACUCGCGGCCUAUCAGCUUGUUGGUGAGGUAAUGGCUCACCAAGGCGACGACGGGUAGCCGGCCUGAGAGGGUGACCGGCCACACUGGGACUGAGACACGGCCCAGACUCCUACGGGAGGCAGCAGUGGGGAAUAUUGCACAAUGGGCGAAAGCCUGAUGCAGCGACGCCGCGUGAGGGAUGACGGCCUUCGGGUUGUAAACCUCUUUCAGUAGGGAAGAAGCGAAAGUGACGGUACCUGCAGAAGAAGCACCGGCUAACUACGUG
rnacentral:rRNA from 1 species